GUGCCUAUACAUGCAAGUCGAGCGGACAGAUGGGAGCUUGCUCCCUGAUGUUAGCGGCGGACGGGUGAGUAACACGUGGGUAACCUGCCUGUAAGACUGGGAUAACUCCGGGAAACCGGGGCUAAUACCGGAUGCUUGUUUGAACCGCAUGGUUCAAACAUAAAAGGUGGCUUCGGCUACCACUUACAGAUGGACCCGCGGCGCAUUAGCUAGUUGGUGAGGUAAUGGCUCACCAAGGCAACGAUGCGUAGCCGACCUGAGAGGGUGAUCGGCCACACUGGGACUGAGACACGGCCCAGACUCCUACGGGAGGCAGCAGUAGGGAAUCUUCCGCAAUGGACGAAAGUCUGACGGAGCAACGCCGCGUGAGUGAUGAAGGUUUUCGGAUCGUAAAGCUCUGUUGUUAGGGAAGAACAAGUACCGUUCGAAUAGGGCGGUACCUUGACGGUACCUAACCAGAAAGCCACGGCUAACUACGUGCCAGCAGCCGCGGUAAUACGUAGGUGGCAAGCGUUGUCCGGAAUUAUUGGGCGUAAAGGGCUCGCAGGCGGUUUCUUAAGUCUGAUGUGAAAGCCCCCGGCUCAACCGGGGAGGGUCAUUGGAAACUGGGGAACUUGAGUGCAGAAGAGGAGAGUGGAAUUCCACGUGUAGCGGUGAAAUGCGUAGAGAUGUGGAGGAACACCAGUGGCGAAGGCGACUCUCUGGUCUGUAACUGACGCUGAGGAGCGAAAGCGUGGGGAGCGAACAGGAUUAGAUACCCUGGUAGUCCACGCCGUAAACGAUGAGUGCUAAGUGUUAGGGGGUUUCCGCCCCUUAGUGCUGCAGCUAACGCAUUAAGCACUCCGCCUGGGGAGUACGGUCGCAAGACUGAAACUCAAAGGAAUUGACGGGGGCCCGCACAAGCGGUGGAGCAUGUGGUUUAAUUCGAAGCAACGCGAAGAACCUUACCAGGUCUUGACAUCCUCUGACAAUCCUAGAGAUAGGACGUCCCCUUCGGGGGCAGAGUGACAGGUGGUGCAUGGUUGUCGUCAGCUCGUGUCGUGAGAUGUUGGGUUAAGUCCCGCAACGAGCGCAACCCUUGAUCUUAGUUGCCAGCAUUCAGUUGGGCACUCUAAGGUGACUGCCGGUGACAAACCGGAGGAAGGUGGGGAUGACGUCAAAUCAUCAUGCCCCUUAUGACCUGGGCUACACACGUGCUACAAUGGACAGAACAAAGGGCAGCGAAACCGCGAGGUUAAGCCAAUCCCACAAAUCUGUUCUCAGU
rnacentral:rRNA from 1 species